ACCCUUUUUCGUCGAUAAUCCAUUUUUUUCUCUUCUUCCUCCCUACCAUCUUCUUUUUCUUAUCCUUCUUUUCCUCUAAUCCAUUUCUUACCCACAACCAUUCUCUCCUCUUUCUCUUUUUUCUCAUCCACUUUUUCUUCUCAUCUUCUUUCUCCUUCAAAUUCAUUCAUGAAUAAAGGGUAUUUUUGUCCAUUGAAAGAGAAAUCUAACACUGUUUAUUAAUAAAAUGAACGACUGGACCACAUUG
rnacentral:lncRNA from 1 species